UACCAGCACCCCGAGUGGUCGGGACGAUUAUUGGGCCUAAAGCAUCCGUAGCCGGUCAUGCAAGUCCUCCGUUAAAUCCCGCCGCUCAACGGUUGGGCUGCGGAGGAUACUACGUGGCUAGGAGGCGGGAGAGGCAAGCGGUACUCAGUGGGUAGGGGUAAAAUCCUUUGAUCCAUUGAAGACCACCAGUGGCGAAGGCGGCUUGCCAGAACGCGCUCGACGGUGAGGGAUGAAAGCUGGGGGAGCAAACCGG
rnacentral:rRNA from 1 species